AAGGAUUGAUAGAAGAUAUGUCUCAAGGGUUCCUCUAUUAUUAAACAACACAUUUGGAUGGAUUAUCAUGGUGGAAGUGAUUCCCUGGAUGAGUAGAUGGACAUUGGAGUGAUAGACGUCCUACUCGAUGAUGUUCUUGCACUUGGAUUUGCCUUUGUGACCUCAUAUGGAGCUGCUGUAUUUGGAAAAGGGACAGUACUCCAUGUCCUAGAACCAAAUCAACAGGUAAUAGGACCCACUGUCACCAUCUACCGUCCCAAUGAAAGAGAACUUAUUAACAACAAAUUCAUUUCUCUGGUCUGCGUUGCAAGAAAUUUCUUUCCUGAACAUGUAAAAAUCCGAUGGUUUGUGGGUGAUGAAGAAAGGGUGAAUGUCUACGAGCCUGUGCCGAAGAAAGCCAAUAACGGUUUAUAUUCAACCAGCAAGCGUCUCACUUUGACCAGUUCGGAAUAUUUCAAUCCCAAUUCCACAUUUCGAUGUGAGGCUGCGUUUCUGGAUGGAACAAAUAAAACUUCUGCAGAAGUUAAAGGAGAAACAGAUUACAGUGUCUCUAAAGAGUCCUAUGCCAUGCAGAUUAACAAAGGAAAGAUUUCCUACAUUGUGGUUCUCUGCAAAAGCGUCUUUUAUGCAGUGAUCGUCCUUGUCUUGUUGUGGAGGAAAAAGGUCAUUACGAGUUCUUACUAAUGGAUGACGGAUGUUAUUAAUGCUUCAGAGUUCUAUAGACCGUAUACCUCUGCUUCAUGGAUAACUGCAUAUAGUCGUAUUACGGAGCGGAGAGAACUGAAUAAAAGCUGAUGUGUUUGAUCCUGUUACGUAGUAGCUGAGAUUGUUCCUGUGUCUGUGUAUUGUGCUGUUAUAUAUGUGUGUAUAUGUACUUACAUUCUAAUAAAUGAUAACUUUAU